AAUGAGAGUUAAUAUAAUAAGUUAUUAACUCGCUUGACUAGGUCUUAUAAAGUUCUGGAUAAAGCUUAUUAUGAAAACUUUAUAUCCAUAGGUCUCGACCAAAUCUUGUGCCAGCAGUCGCGGUAAGACAAGGGAGACGAGUGUUAUUCAUCUUUAACAGGUAUAUAGGGUACCUAGACGGUGUGCAAUGGCUUAAAUAAGUACCUGGUACACUUGAGUUUGAUAUGUGAGAGGAAUAUGUUGGAAUUGUUGGAGGAAAGAUGAAAUUUGUUAAUACCAAUAGGACUGAUAACGGCGAAGGCAAACCUCUAUGUACAUGUACUUGCUAUUUCUGUUUUUAUUAGAGCAAAAUAGCAAUGUACUAUAACUGCCGUUGAGGGACGAAGGCUCAGAGAGUGAAGAGGAUUAGAUACCCCCGUAACCUGGGCAGACAAUGAUGAGUGCCAUAGGUUGGCUUAAGGCGGAACUAUAAAUGAAAGUGGAAGCACUCCACCUCAAGAGUAAUGUGGCAACGCAGGAACUGAAAUCAU
rnacentral:rRNA from 1 species